UACGUAGGGGCUAGCGUUGUCCGGAUUUAUUGGGCGUAAAGAGCGCGUAGGCGGCCGAGUAAGUCCGACGUGAAAUCUGGAGGCUCAACCUCCAGCGGUCGUUGGAAACUACUCGGCUAGAGUCCGGAAGAGGAGAGUGGAAUUCCUGGUGUAGCGGUGAAAUGCGCAGAUAUCAGGAAGAACACCGAUGGCGAAAGCAGCUCUCUGGGACGGUACUGACGCUGAGGCGCGAAAGCGUGGGAGCGAACAGG
rnacentral:rRNA from 1 species